UACGGAGGGGGCUAGCGUUGUUCGGAAUUACUGGGCGUAAAGCGCACGUAGGCGGCUUUGUAAGUUAGAGGUGAAAGCCCGGGGCUCAACUCCGGAAUUGCCUUUAAGACUGCAUCGCUAGAAUUGUGGAGAGGUAAGUGGAAUUCCGAGUGUAGAGGUGAAAUUCGUAGAUAUUCGGAAGAACACCAGUGGCGAAGGUGACUUACUGGACACAUAUUGACGCUGAGGUGCGAAAGCGUGGGGAGCAAACAGG
rnacentral:rRNA from 1 species